UCAAGUGACUAAGUGCAUGUGGCGGAUGCCUUGGCGAUCACAGGCGAAGAAAGACGCGGCAGCCUGCGAAAAGCUGCGGGGAGCUGGCAAACGAGCUUUGAUCCGCAGAUAUCUGAAUGGGGGAACCCACACCGCAAGGUGUAUCCGUGACUGAAUACAUAGGUUACGGAGGCGAACGAGGAGAACUGAAACAUCUAAGUAUCCUCAGGAAAAGAAAUCAACCGAGAUUCCGGCAGUAGCGGCGAGCGAACCCGGAGGAGCCUAGCUUUUGAUAGUACGAACUUUAGCCGAAAGGUCCUGGAAAGGCCUGCUAUAGUGGGUGAUAGCCCCGUAGGCGAAAGAGUUCGUAUGGUACUAAGGAAGCGAGAAGUAGAGCGGGACACGUGGAAUCCUGUUCGAAGAUGGGGGGACCAUCCUCCAAGGCUAAAUACUCGUGAUCGACCGAUAGUGAACCAGUACCGUGAGGGAAAGGCGAAAAGAACCCCGGGAGGGGAGUGAAAUAGAACCUGAAACCGCAUGCAUACAAACAGUAGGAGCCUCACCAGAGGUGACUGCGUACCUUUUGCAUAAUGGGUCAGCGACUUACAUUCUGUGGCGAGCUUAACCGAAUAGGGGAGGCGCAGCGAAAGCGAGUUCGAAAUGAGCGUCCAGUCGCAGGGUGUAGACCCGAAACCAGAUGAGCUAUCCAUGGCCAGGUUGAAGGUGUGGUAACACACACUGGAGGACCGAACCGACUAGUGUUGCAAAAUUAGCGGAUGAGCUGUGGAUAGGGGUGAAAGGCCAAACAAAUCUGGAGAUAGCUGGUUCUCCCCGAAAACUAUUGAGGUAGUGCCUCGUGUGUCGCUCCAGGGGGUAGAGCACUGUUUUGGCUAGGGGGACAUGGAGUCUUACCAAACCAAGGCAAACUCCGAAUACCUGGAAGCGUAAGCACGGGAGACAGAGCACCGGGUGCUAACGUCCGGACUCAAAAGGGAAACAACCCAGACCGCCGGCUAAGGUCCCCAAUAACAGCUAAGUGGAAAACGAAGUGGAAAGGCCGUGACAACCAGGAAGUUGGCUUAGAAGCAGCCAUCCUUCAAAGAAAGCGUAAUAGCUCACUGGUCGAGUCCUUCUGCGCGGAAGAUGUAACGGGGCUAAGCUGUUAACCGAAGCCGCGGAUGCACUGGUUAUCCAGUGCGUGGUAGGGGAGCGUUCUGUAAGUCUGCGAAGGCGGUUCGAGAGGACUGCUGGAGAUAUCAGAAGUGCGAAUGCUGACAUGAGUAACGUUAAAGCAGGUGAAAAGCCUGCUCGCCGUAAGCCCAAGGAUUCCUGCUCUACGUUCAUCGGAGCAGGGUGAGUCGGCUCCUAAGGUCAGGCCGAAAGGCGUAGCCGAUGGGAAUCAGGUUAAUAUUCCUGAACCUGCGUCAGAUGCGAUGGGGGGACGGAGCAUGAAAGAUCAUCCGGGUGUUGGAUGUCCCGGUUGACGAGCGUAGGAGGUCUGCAGGCAAAUCCGCAGACGCAUCUCCAAGGCGAAGUCACGUGCCGCCACGGCGGCGAAGUGAUCGGAAGUGCUUCCAAGAAAAGCCUCUAAGCACCAGUCUGACGCGGACCGUACCGCAAACCGACACUGGUGGGCGAGCUGAAUAUGCUCAGGCGCUUGAGAGAACUCGGGAGAAGGAACUCGGCAAAUUGACACCGUAACUUCGGAAGAAGGUGUGCCGUAGUACCGUGAGAGGAGAGACACCUUGAGCGGGAAUCGGUCUCAGAGAAUAGGUGGCUGCGACUGUUUAUUAAAAACACAGCACUCUGCAAAGUCGAAAGACGACGUAUAGGGUGUGAUGCCUGCCCGGUGCUGGAAGAUUAAUUGAUGGGGUGAGAGCCCUUGAUCGAAGUCCCAGUAAACGGCGGCCGUAACUAUAACGGUCCUAAGGUAGCGAAAUUCCUUGUCGGGUAAGUUCCGACCUGCACGA
rnacentral:rRNA from 1 species